UGGAUAAGUAUAUAAUCAAACUCCAACUUAAUUUUAAAAAAAUGAGAACCAAAUUAGGACCCAAAGCGUAGUUUAGUAAACUGCUUAUUCUACAUUUCUUGUCUUAUGUGAUACAGUAGAUGUCCUAAUGAUAAAGAAAUUCUAAAUGAUUAGAUAGAGUAAAGCAAUUAGCAACAAAUCAUUCAAUUGAAAUAUUACGACAAGGUCAGAGUAAGAAACAGGCAAAGUAAAGAAAUAAAAAUAAAAUGAAUCAAAAUAGUAAUGGGCUCCCAACAGAAGGACUGCUUUUGUUUGUGAUUCACUUUUAGGCGAUGUAAAGCUGGAGAUGGCCGAGGAUAUAUAGACUCCAUAUGUCAGUGGUGUCGUCGUCUCAAAGUGGGAUGCUUCGGCUCCGGUGUUCAUGCGAACAAUGAGAAAACAAGAAGAAAAGUAAUUAGAAAAGGAAUCUACUCUCAAACAAACAUAAAAUCUAGAGAAUAAAUAGAUACAUGGAAUUAACAUAACUAAAAAAAACUCAUACCAAACAAAUGUACAGUUUCCUGUUAUGUUAGUAAGUUCAUGACUUUACAGUAACUCAUGUUGUCAGAGAAAGUUUUCAAAUGAAGUAAUUAUUCUAAACAAAAUUCCAAAUUAGUAAUUUAAGAAACGUAAUAGCAUUUUAACAACAUGGUGUCAAUAAUAGAGAAAUAAAAUUCUUGGUACUCAAAUUACAAUCACUCACU
rnacentral:lncRNA from 1 species